UACGCUGGUGGAGAGAAGAGGUCGUCGUCGAUUACGUCGAGAAAAACGCCGGGAAUCGUCGUCGCACGAUAAGUCGCCUCUCACGGUGAAACCCUAGUUUUUUCAGAGAAAGGGGAAAAUGAGAAGAAACAAGGAGUGGCCCGACUUUCCUCCUCGUCAACGCGGAACGCUUGACCAACCAGCGUACGCCGCGUGGCAACAUCCGCCCCUUACGGGUUCAUGCGCAAGGCCCGUUUCAUCAAACUUAUCGAAUUUUUAUUUUUUUUUUAAACCAGCGGGCCUAAGAUUUCGAGCCCACGAACCUCUUAUAAACCGCUAAUGCGGAUGGUCUUA
rnacentral:lncRNA from 1 species